rnacentral:rRNA from 1 species
GGGGGCGCAGCCUGAUGCAGCCAUGCCGCGUGURUGAAGAAGGCCUUCGGGUUGUAAAGYACUUUCAGCGGGGAGGAAGGCGAURAGGYUAAUAACCUUGKCGAUUGACGUUACCCGCAGAAGAAGCACCGGCUAACUCCRUGCCAGCAGCCGCGGUAAU